rnacentral:rRNA from 1 species
UACGUAGGGUGCAAGCGUUGUCCGGAAUUAUUGGGCGUAAAGAGCUCGUAGGCGGUCUGUUGCGUCGGCUGUGAAAACCCGGGGCUCAGCUCCGGGCCUGCAGCCGAUACGGGCAGACUAGAGUUCGGUAGGGGAGACUGGAAUUCCUGGUGUAGCGGUGAAAUGCGCAGAUAUCAGGAGGAACACCGGUGGCGAAGGCGGGUCUCUGGGCCGAUACUGACGCUGAGGAGCGAAAGCGUGGGGAGCGAACAGG